CUGCUCCCUUCUGCAGCACCCAUACCAAAAUUGGAAUGAUACACAGAUUCAUGGCCCCUGCGCAAGGAUGACACGCAAAUUUGUUAAGCGUUCCUUAUUUUU
ensembl:snRNA U6 U6 spliceosomal RNA